UGCAACACACACUAAACCCCUGAGCUCAGCCCAAACGGAGACUCCUUGGAGCCCAGAAGUAGCUGCUCGGAGCGCUCCUGGGUCCGUACUGCCAGCCCCGUAGCCCGUCGUCUCCCGAACCAGACACUGCCUCUCACGGGGGCGGAGGGAAUCCCUCCGCCUGCCUGACCCACAAAGCCUGGGAGAUGGAAUCCCUGCGGUUUGCUUGUCUCUGUGAACUGUGCGACUGUGGGUAAGUGAGCGCUCGAACAGGCACAGAGACACACGCCCUUAUUUAUUUUUGCUGAAGGCUUCUAGAGCAAGACUGGAUUCGUUUCGCCUUUCCCCCCCCUGCACACACCAGACCUGAUCUUAAGCAAAAGCUGCUGGCACUGAGUUGGGCAGGCGGGCUAAAAGCCAUGGGCAGCGGAGAAGGACAGCCGGCUGCUUUAUUUCUCUCGCUCUAGGUCUCUUUCUCUCUGCGUUAGUAUGGAGCCAUUUUAGAAAGAGCUAUCAUCACUUGUACUGCUGUGGAAACCUAGAGGCAUGAGAAAGUCUCUGCCCCACAGAUCCUCCACGUGCGUGUCCAUGGAUAUAUUCUGUAGUGUUUACCCACAUCCCUGGGGACUUACAGUUUUUAACCACCUCUUUACAGAACAUGACAGGGGCCUGCAGCCGUGCCCUGAGCCAUGUUGCUAGCGGGAGUUGGGUAAUAGCAGGCGGGGGGGGGGUCAUUUCACAGUAUUUGGUAGCAUCCCGCUCCUAGCUCCACCACAGGAGAGAUCUCUUCCUCCUACCAAUUGCAUCAGUCUCCCCAGAAGCUCUGAGAGACGCCGAGUAGAGGGCAGCAAUUCUCAGGGGCCCAUCAUCCGACUGCCCAGCACCCAGCUCCCAGCGAGCAGACCCGGCCGCCUUGGCGGUCACCUCCCCUGGCUCUGAUGGCUCCCCUGAGGCAGGCAGGCUGGAUGUGGAGAAAGUUCCCAGAGGGGAGGGGAGCCCGGUUUCGGUUUCUCUCUCUCAGCUGCUUCUCUGUCACGCUCAGUCGACACAAGCGCCACAAGAACUGCAAGAAGCGGAGCAGGCCAGCGCCUCAGGACUGCAGGAGGCCCCAGCUGUCCCAUUACAAGGCAACUUACACCCAGCCACCAAACGUGCAUCCUCGAAGCAGCAAGAGGCCGCUCCGCACCCCUCCACACCCCAACCCCCCGGCCAUGGCCUUCAGCACCACGCAGCGGGCAGAGUUCAUUCCCUGGGAGCUGGGCCAGAGGACCAAGCCGCCUGUCCAGGAGGCGUAUCAGUGCCCACAGGAGCCCUUCCAAAGCCAGAGUCUGUACCGCCUCCACUUCCCGCCCAGGGAGCCGGUCGUGACCACCCUCCGGCAGCCCCCGACUCCCAGGCAGCCUGACGGCUCCGGCUUCCCCCACACCACCACCACCAAGGAGAGCUACAAAGGAUGGCGAGCGGAACACCCAGCCUGCUAUGGAGAGCCACCAGCCCUGGCAGGCGCUCUCCUGUCCCCUGACCGGGCAGCCGAGAUGGAAAGCACCACGCAGCGAGAGUUCACUGAGAAACGCAUCCCCAAACCGGAGCUGGUCAAAGGCCUCCAGGCUCAGCUCACCAUUGAAGGUGAUCAUGACAUGACGACAACCCACCAGAGCACCUACCAGUCUGUGCCCUUGGAGAAGCGGGUAGCCCAGUCACGCGGUAAAGGAGUAGUGCCAGCAGGGAAACGAGCCCAGGUGGAAUACAUGACCAAGUACCAGAGCGAUUUCCCAGCAUGCAGCUUGUUACCUGCACGGAUUCAGCCUGCUCAGCCUCCUCUGGACAACCUGGCAAUCAACCAGGGCUUCAGCACAGAUUUUCAGACGGUGCAGAGGGAAAGCUACCAUGGCUGGGACACCCGCAGAUACCCUCGUGCCUGCCCCAUCAAGCUGAAAGAGGAGCUGGCAGACUUGGGGAAAGAGAGGGAUGGAAAAUUCAGUGGAGACACUGUGACCAAGCUCUCUUACCCUCCUCUGCCCUUGGACAGGCCUCCGGGGACUAUCCAGUGGCCCCCCACAGUGCUGAGAUCCCUCCCUGCAAAGUUUGAUGAUUCCACAGCCCACAAGUUCUUCUUCAGAGAGUGGAGAGUCCAGCCCCGAAUCCGGCAAGGUGACCCCCACGAUGGAGUCUACAUCCGACCUCUGGUAAUACGAUGGGGGCAGGAGACCACUCCUGCUAACUGGCUGGCACCCUCACACAACACAGACGGUCCUGUGAAAGUGGAAUGCAUCCAAGAGCCUCAGCACAGCCUUGUACACCAGACAAAUUCCACAGGGUACCACAAAGACAGAGGCCACUGUCCCAUGAAUGAUGAUGUGCUUGAGAGAACAGUAGCCAACUCCUAUUUCAGUCAGGGUCGUACCAUGACAGGUGCUGCAUGGACUCCCCAGGCAUGCAGUCCCUGCCCUGCAGAGUUUAUUAUCUGA
rnacentral:lncRNA from 1 species